UGGGGAAUAUUGCACAAUGGGCGCAAGCCUGAUGCAGCCAUGCCGCGUGUGUGAAGAAGGCCUUCGGGUUGUAAAGCACUUUCAGCGGGGAGGAAGGCGUUAAGGUUAAUAACCUUGGCGAUUGACGUUACCCGCAGAAGAAGUACCGGCUAACUCCGUGCCAGCAGCCGCGGUAAUACGGAGGGUGCAAGCGUUAAUCGGAAUUACUGGGCGUAAAGCGCACGCAGGCGGUCUGUCAAGUCGGAUGUGAAAUCCCCGGGCUCAACCUGGGAACUGCAUUCGAAACUGGCAGGCUAGAGUCUUGUAGAGGGGGGUAGAAUUCCAGGUGUAGCGGUGAAAUGCGUAGAGAUCUGGAGGAAUACCGGUGGCGAAGGCGGCCCCCUGGACAAAGACUGACGCUCAGGUGCGAAAGCGUGGGGAGCAAACAGG
rnacentral:rRNA from 1 species